UACGUAGGGUGCGAGCGUUAAUCGGAUUUACUGGGCGUAAAGCGUGCGCAGGCGGCCCGUUAAGACAGGUGUGAAAUCCCUGGGCUCAACCUAGGAAUUGCGCUUGUGACUGGCGGGCUCUAGUACGGUAGAGGGGGGUGGAAUUCCUGGUGUAGCAGUGAAAUGCGUAGAGAUCAGGAGGAACACCGAUGGCGAAGGCAGCCCCCUGGGCCUGUACUGACGCUCAUGCACGAAAGCGUGGGGAGCAAACAGG
rnacentral:rRNA from 1 species